rnacentral:rRNA from 1 species
GAUGAACGCUGGCGGCGCGCCUAACACAUGCAAGUCGAACGAUUAAAGCACCUUCGGGUGUGUAUAAAGUGGCGAACGGCUGAGUAACACGUGGGCAACCUGCCCCUCUCAUUGGGAUAGCCACGGGAAACCGUGGAUAAUACCGAAUACUUCGAGUCUCCCGCAUGGAAGACUCGAGAAAGCUCCGGCGGAGAGGGAUGGGCCCGCGGCCUGUUAGCUUGUUGGUGGGGUAACGGCCUACCAAGGCAAUGAUGGGUAGCUGGGUUGAGAGACCGACCAGCCAGAUUGGGACUGAGACACGGCCCAGACUCCUACGGGAGGCAGCAGUGGGGAAUCUUGCACAAUGGGCGAAAGCCUGAUGCAGCGACGCCGCGUGCGGGAUGAGGGCCUUCGGGUUGUAAACCGCUUUCAGCAGGGACGAGGCGAAAGUGACGGUACCUGCAGAAGAAGCCCCGGCUAACUACGUGCCAGCAGCCGCGGUAAUACGUAGGGGGCAAGCGUUAUCCGGAUUCAUUGGGCGUAAAGCGCUCGUAGGCGGUCUGUUAGGUCGGGAGUUAAAUCCGGGGGCUCAACCCCCGUUCGCUCCCGAUACCGGCAGACUUGAGUUUGGUAGGGGAAGGUGGAAUUCCUAGUGUAGCGGUGGAAUGCGCAGAUAUUAGGAAGAACACCAGUGGCGAAGGCGGCCUUCUGGGCCAUAACUGACGCUGAGGAGCGAAAGCUAGGGGAGCAAACAGG